GAAAUGCGAUAAGGAAUGUGAAGGGCAGAAGGAAGUGAAGAAGAGAAGAGUUGAACGAACCUUGCGCUCCUUGGUAUUCCUUGGAGCAUGCCUGUUUGAGUAUCAUGAAAUCUUCAAAGUAAAUCUUUUGUUAACUCAAUUGGCUUCUACUUUGGUAUUGGAGGUCUUUGCAGCUUCACACCUGCUCCUCUUUGUUCAUUAGCUGGAUCUCAGUGUUAUGCUUGGUUCCACUCGGCGUGAUAAGUUAUCUAUCGCUGAGGACACUGUAAAAGGUGGCCAAGGUAAAUGCAGAUGAACCGCUUCUAAUAGUCCAUUGACUUGGACAAUACUUUUAUGAUCUGAUCUCAAAUCAGGUAGGACUACCCGCUGAACUUAAGC
rnacentral:misc_RNA from 1 species